GAAAAGCCAAAUAUCACCAUUGACCAAAGUAAGUGUGCAGCUGCAAGUCACUUCACUCCGUACUAGUCCUACAUCAAUGCCAUUAUUCCCAGAUACCAGUAAUACUAGUAUCAGAAGUCUAAGGCCCGAUCAACAGAGCCUAGCUAGCUCGCUCCGGCCGUAUACGUAUAAUACGUAUACGCUAUCAGCGGCGCGGCGCGCAUUUUAUUUGCCUGCCUGGAAUCCAGUAUCCCGCCUGGAUCAGUGGAUGAUGGCUUUGCAGGUUACUGAGUUCUGUGCUUGCGUGAGGCGGAAGACUAGUGCGGGGGCAGAGAACGGCAGCUGAGCUGUUGGAGGUUGCUAAUACCAUAAAGCUUAUCGACACUGGAGGAUAUUGUAACAUUCACUCACCUUAUUGCAGAUGGCAAGGUGGGUUGUAAACCAUUCAACAUUAAAUAUUCAAAAUCAAACAUCUAUUCACUCCUACAACUGCUGAUACAGCCCUUGGAACAAUCGGGAGUGCCUGAAAACAAUUUGUAGUUAUUCACUCCUGAUAGAAAUAAAGUCGUGAUAUUGAUAUCAGUGUUGUGA